UACAGAGGUCUCAAGCGUUGUUCGGAUUCAUUGGGCGUAAAGGGUGCGUAGGUGGCGCGGUAAGUCGGGUGUGAAAUUUCGGAGCUUAACUCCGAAACUGCAUUCGAUACUGCCGUGCUUGAGGACUGGAGAGGAGACUGGAAUUCCCGGUGUAGCGGUGAAAUGCGCAGAUAUCGGGAAGAACACCCGUGGCGAAGGCGGUUCUCUGGGACGGUACUGACGCUGAGACGCGAAAGCGUGGGGAGCGAACAGG
rnacentral:rRNA from 1 species